AUAAUAAGGUCAUUCUAACACUACAAUGUACACCAGUACCCAAACUGGAUCAUUCAUUUAAAAAAAAUUCAUUCCCGAAGACAUAGUUUUUGUGGUCUUAAUAGCUAAAUUGUCCUGGGACACUCCAAAUGUGAUUUAUUUGUCCCAAGGCCAGUAGAAGGUUCCAUGUAGGUGAAAAUGGAUGUUUGGCUAGUUGAAGAGAAAUGGAAAUGAGUUCUGCAAGCUGACUUACUCAGUGGAAAUGGGGAGGCACAUUACACCUUAUAGAGAAGCAGUUUCUGAGAGUCAGAGCUGGCUGGAGAAGAACUGCAUGGUCCCUGUCACUGGAGUAUGUCCAACGGUGAGGAUACCAGUGGAAAUCACCCAGGAGAAGAAUAUGGUCAUUCUGGGAAUAAAUUCUGCAGCCACGGUGGAUGAGAGAACCCAAUCCCUCUAGAUAUGAAUGAAGCCAGGCCUUCAGUAGUAGAUUCACUGUGAACCAGAACGCCUGCAGGAGGUUAAACAUUUUGGCUUUUUUCACCUGAUGGCAGGCUCCAGUGGACCACCCAAGGAGCCCUUUGAAAUACUACUUUUCAUGAUAUUGGGGAAGACUUUUUAGAAGAAAGGACAUCUCAACACAAGGCUGAGAAGUAGUUCACCAAGUGUUGAUCUCCCCAUUAAACUGAAGUCCAUGAGGCCAGGGAUCUUGCCUUUUCAAUUCCUUCUGCAUCCCUUCUGCAUCCCUGGUAUCCAAAGAAGUUCACACAGUAGGCUCCCAACUUCUCUUCUUGCCUCAUACAUACCCGGCCACAGAUGCUGUCUCAUCGGCUGGAUGCACAACACUUCAAUGGAGCAAGGGCUUUCUGUUGUUGUUGUACCUGCCCUCUUGCUCCAUCAACUCCAGAACCCUGGUGAAUUAGGCUUCACUGCCUUGCAGACUUCCUAGUGAGUGCUGGGACAUCCAUUUAUUUGGGAGAGAACAAAAUGCACAGUUGUACGAAGGCAAAGGCUGAACAGUUGGGGAGAACGGCAGUUGGAGAGAAGAGCAUCAGAGGCCUCGUGGUAAACCGAAAUGAGAGCUGCGCUGUGCGGGAGGAUGCCUGGGAGGCACCAACGCCCCUGGAACUUAGAUCUGGACUGCCUUGCAGGCAAAGAUACACAAUCCCCCAAGUUAAAAUGUUGAAGGGCAACAGACCAAAACCAGAACAACACAGUUUCCACCUCCUCCCCUUCACCUUUGCCCAUUAGCAGAGUUAAAUUUAUACCAGAGUUAAAUUUCUAUGUAUGAACUCACACGCAGAAACCAAUAUACACUACUACUGGAAACGUCAAUCAUGACAACUCUUUUGGAUGGCAACGGACGUAAAAAUAACUUAAAAAUAUAAAAUUACUUGUGACACAUU